CCAAAGAGGGGAUCUUCGGACCUCUCGCGUCAAGAUAUGCCUAGGUGGGAUUAGCUAGUUGGUGAGGUAAUGGCUCACCAAGGCGACGAUCCCUAGCUGGUCUGAGAGGAUGAUCAGCCACACUGGAACUGAGACACGGUCCAGACUCCUACGGGAGGCAGCAGUGGGGAAUAUUGCACAAUGGGCGAAAGCCUGAUGCAGCCAUGCCGCGUGUAUGAAGAAGGCCUUCGGGUUGUAAAGUACUUUCAGUUGUGAGGAAGGGUGUGUAGUUAAUNNNNGCGCAUCUUGACGUUAGCAACAGAAGAAG
rnacentral:rRNA from 1 species